CCUACGGGAGGCAGCAGUGAGGAAUAUUGGUCAAUGACGAGAGUCUGAACCAGCCAAGUAGCGUGAAAGAUGACUGCCCUAUGGGUUGUACAAUUCUUUUAUAAAGGAAUAAAACGACGGACGUGUUACUUUUUGCAUGUACUUUAUGAAUAAGGAUCGGCGAACUCCGUGCCAGCAGCCGCGGUAAUACGGAGGAUCCGAGCGUUUUCCGGAUUUUUUGGGUUUAAAGGGAGCUUAGGUGGGUUGUUAAGUCAGUUGUGAAAGUUUGCGGCUCAACCGUAAAAUUGCAAUUGAUACUGGCAGUCGUGAGUACAGUUGAGGUAGGCGGAAUUCGUGGUGUAGCGGUGAAAUGCUUAGAUAUCACGAAGAACCCCGAUUGCGAAGGCAGCUUACUAAACUGUGACUGACAUUGAUGCUCGAAAGUGUGGGUAUCAAACAGGAUUAGAUACCCGUGUAGUC
rnacentral:rRNA from 1 species